CUAAAACUCAUUCUCAUCACCCUCUAACCUAAAACACAGAUCCUAUCACUCUCUCUCCUCUCUCUCACUCUCACCCUCUCUCUCUCUCUCUCUUAACCCUCAAACCCUAAAAAAAUUCGAGCAGUGUCAAAUGAAAAAGCGAACAACAAAAUUGAAAAACCUUCGUCCUCUAUUAUUUUCGAACAACGAAAUACUCUUUUUCAAGUGAAAAAGCGAAAAGCGAACAAAAUUGAAGAACAAGACAACGAAAACCACCAUGGAUGGUUGGGUCGCAUGCUCUCUCCUCGAAAACUUUGAUAGAUUUGUGUUUGGUUCUUCUCGUCUUCUUCGUCGGAAUAUGUCAAAAUAUCGGCAGUGCUUCGUCCUCGAUUAGUUUCAUUUUAGUUUUACAUAUUUUUCUACAUUUGCAAUGUAAUUUUUUUAUAUAUAGUUUACAUAUUUUCGUCUCUCAUUGUAAAUUUUGUAAUACAUAUUUGACAUUAUUAAUAUAAAAUACAUGUUUACUAA